rnacentral:rRNA from 1 species
GACGAACGCUGGCGGCGUGCCUAAUACAUGCAAGUAGAACGCUGAAGGAGGAGCUUGCUUCUCUGGAUGAGUUGCGAACGGGUGAGUAACGCGUAGGUAACCUGCCUGGUAGCGGGGGAUAACUAUUGGAAACGAUAGCUAAUACCGCAUAAGAGUAGAUGUCGCAUGACAUUUGCUUAAAAGGUGCAAUUGCAUCACUACCAGAUGGACCUGCGUUGUAUUAGCUAGUUGGUGAGGUAACGGCUCACCAAGGCAACGAUACAUAGCCGACCUGAGAGGGUGAGCGGCCACACUGGGACUGAGACACGGCCCAGACUCCUACGGGAGGCAGCAGUAGGGAAUCUUCGGCAAUGGACGGAAGUCUGACCGAGAAACGCCGCGUGAGUGAAGAAGGUUUUCGGAUCGUAAAGCUCUGUUGUAAGAGAAGAACGAGUGUGAGAGUGGAAAGUUCACACUGUGACGGUAGCUUACCAGAAAGGGACGGCUAACUACGUG